GCGCGAAAACUUUACAAUGCGAGAAAUCGUGAUAAGGGAACCCCGAGUGCCCGUAAAUUCGGGCUGUCCAUCAGCGUAAAAAACUGGUGAAGAAAGGGCCGGGCAAGACCGGUGCCAGCCGCCGCGGUAAUACCGGCGGCUCGAGUGGUGGCCACUAUUACUGGGCUUAAAGCGUCCGUAGCUGGAUUGUUAAGUCUCUUGGGAAAUCCGCCGGCUUGACCGGCGGGCGUUCAGGAGAAACUGGCAAUCUAGGGACCGGGAGAGGUGAGAGGUACUCCAGGGGUAGGAGUGAAAUCCUGUAAUCCUUGGGGGACCACCUGUGGCGAAGGCGUCUCACUAGAACGGCUCCGACAGUGAGGGACGAAAGCUGGGGGAGCAAACCG
rnacentral:rRNA from 1 species